rnacentral:rRNA from 1 species
UACGAACUGUGCGAACGUUAUUCGGAAUCACUGGGCUUACAGGGUGCGUAGGCGGCUAUUCAGGUCAGGUGUGAAAGCCCCCGGCUCAACCGGGGAACUGCGCUUGAAACCGAGUGGCUCGAGUCAGCUAGAGGUACACGGAACUUCCAGUGGAGCGGUGAAAUGUGUUGAUAUUGGAAGGAACGCCGGUGGCGAAAGCGACACACUGGGGCACAACUGACGCUGAGGCACGAAAGCUAGGGUAGCGAACGGG